GGUUAACAAAAAAAGAAUGCGACCAAAAUCCAUGGUCAAAAUUUCGCCUGCUGUCUGUUCAUCUUCAUUAGAAAGCUGCUUUCAGAAAUUCAGCCUAACGUAUAGAUCUGAAUCUGGGGACCUGCACUAUCUGGACAUUGGUAGAGGACCAAUGAAUAUGCAGCAUAAAGCUUUAAAAUGUUUUACUGUUUCACUCUCUGGUGGCACAACUCUGUUUCCAAAUGUACCACGAGUUUGAUGGGAAUGCCUAUUAUAUUUCUGAGGAAUAAUGUUUUACACUGGAAAUCUGGAUUGGAGACAAGAAGAAAGGGUUCUUUGCGAAAAGAUUUUGACACCUCGGUGAAAAGGAGGAGCAUCCUCAGAAGGCAUUGAGCCAGUGCUCUGAAUUAAGGAUUCCAUCACUGGCAGCAGGAGUGGGUGCGUGUUCAGUACAGAAAAGCUACGCCCUGGCCACAGAUUUUGAAUUCCCCAGCUUUCAGUACACCCAAAGGUCAUUAAACUCCUUUGGCUGGUGUCCCUCCUGCUGUGAGGAGAAAAUGCUGUGGGUGCUGUCUGCUUCACCCGUGUGCAGUCAUAAUGUUGGCUCUGCCUUUAGAGCCUUCACAGCUGUGCUGUAACACAGUUAGUUCCCAACAUGACUCAGAUGAAGGAUUUUAUUUAAUCUGUACAGGACUUUGGAAAAAAAAAAAAAAAAAGAGGAUUUUCGUUUGUGGAAACCUUGAGGAUGUGCAAAGCUGAAAAAAGGGCACAUGCGAACAAGAGGCUGGAUGUCAAAAGCUGAUUUCCCAUUUUCUUAGGAUAUAAGUUCAGUGAAAAUGGAAAAAUGGGAGAAGAAUGAAACCAUUUCAUUGACUUGGCUACCUUAAUUCCUUCAAUGGUCUGUUAAAGCAACAGUCAUAAUUUGCAUUGCUUCUGGCUCACAAACAGGAACGGUUAAAGAAGUGCGGUGGGGUUUUGGUUGUUUGUUUUAUUUUCUGGCUCUAAAUUCAUAGAAUCAUAGAAUCAGCCAGUUGGAAAGGACCUUCAAGAUCAUCAAGUCCAACCCUUGAUCCACUACCACCAUGGUUUCUAGACCAUGGAACUAAGUGCCACAUCCAGCCACACUCAGCUUUUCUUUUAGGUUCUUUCCUCCAAUGUACCUUCUGUCACUAUUUGCACCAUUUGCAGUGCUUUAUUUCUGUGAAACUAUACACUCCUUUUAAAAUCUGGAGGUUCUUUAGUAUCAUUAAAAUCCACACUGAACAAAAAAUAAAUGUCUUGUUCCUGACAUAGGGGUGACUACGACAAAAUCUGAAGAUUCUUUGUUCAGAUUAAGCUCUCUUGGAAACACAGGAGAGCUGCCAGCUGGUUCUACAGGCCAGAACAUCAGAACUUUUAAAGUAACCCUUGUAUUAUUUGCAUAAGGACUGACAUUUUAGGAAAGUGGACCUGAGGUCACCUGAUAAAUAUGCAAGAGUAUGUCUCUCAUUUGUCCUUCUGAGGCAGAAUGCCACUAACCACAAGACUCAAACAGGCACAAGGAACCCCAGGUUGCAGGAGCAGCAUGAAUAUUCCAAUCAUCUGAUGUAGAGAUUAGUCUAUAGGUUUGAGCUGCACAUGGUAGAGAUCCUCUUUCAUGGUAUCUACAGUGGAGCACAAAUGUGUUCUGUAUCUUUUACAAGUAAUUAUUCCAAGUCCCUUCAUAAAAAUGCUCCAAUUUACAAUGCUCCAAUUUAAAAAUGCUCCAAAGUACAAUGAGUACUUUUUCCAGUUUGGUCCAGAUGCUAAGACAUUGCAUGCCCAGGAAGCUGAACAUUAACCAAGAGCUACUUACUAAUAAUCCAAAGCUGCCUUCAAGACACAAGAGUCAAGAGAGCUGGGUUUCUAGGGGGGCUGUUUCUGUGCAGAGGAUGUGAAAAGGAAGCCUUUGUUCACAAAGUGUCCAUGGAUGUUCAAGGAAAGUGGAUGUGCAGGCCAUACAAUUAAAAGAAAGUGGGGAAUGCCAGUCAAAAGUAAUUGACUCAUGACAGCAAAUGGAAAUUUUUGCAGUGUUUUACACCAGAAUUAUAAAAUCAAUUCACAACCACUGUUAGGGGAAGGUAGCACUAAUGAGAAGUUCCAGUGUAGCUGAGCAUUGCUAUGUGUCAUGUAUUGAACCACAGCAAAUGUACUGCCCAAGGAAGAUAAGGUCCACAGGUUAUUGGUUUUUAUGGGAUGUAAUCAUUGAGUGAUACGGAUUGUGCCUCUAUACCUCAGGAUUCAUUUCUGUACAAACUCAAGCACACAUGUUGAUACUCCAAUGCCUAUGGCAAAUAGUAGGUGCUGUGGAUAAAUCUGAGUUCAUAAUCUAGAUAUAGGCUAGAAUAUAAUAUACAAGGUGCACAACCCAAAACUGUUUUAGAAUUUAAAUUUUACUCAAACAGUCAAUUGAAGGCAAGCAUUAGUGAGAAUAAGG